rnacentral:rRNA from 1 species
UACGGGGGGGGGCAAGCGUUGUUCGGAAUUACUGGGCGUAAAGGGCUCGUAGGCGGCCAACUAAGUCAGACGUGAAAUCCCCUCGGCUUAACCGGGGAACUGCGUCUGAUACUGGAUGGCUUGAAUCCGGGAGAGGGAUGCGGAAUUCCAGGUGUAGCGGUGAAAUGCGUAGAUAUCUGGAGGAACACCGGUGGCGAAGGCGACAUCCUGGACCGGUAUUGACGCUGAGUGAGCGAAAGCCAGGGGAGCAAAGCGGG